CGCCCCGGCCGAGCUGCCGUGCCGCAGGAGUUACUAGGGGAGUUGGCCCUGGUGCAAUCCAGUCCGGUCGGUGCGGGACCGGCCUGCCGAGGACGGGCGGCAGCCGGGGCUGGAGGGGCUGCUGCUCCGGCGCUGCUUUAAACCAUUGACCUGGAAGGCUGGCGGUGGUGCAGCUGCAAAAUAAAAUAGUCUUAUACUGGGGUGGUGUUAGGCCUCUGGUGCUUCUUGGCAGGUGUGUGCACCUGCCUAGUUUUACAGUGGUCCCGCUGCCAAAGUCACUUAGAAUACAGAAAGUACACACAAAGUAGAAUCAAAGAAUAGUUUGGGUUAGAAAGGACCUUCAAAGCUCAUCUAGUCCAGCCCCCCCUGCCAUGAGCAGGAACAUCUUCAACUACAUCAGGUCGCUCAGAGCCCCGUCCAGCCUGGUCUUGAAUGUCUCCAGGGAUGGGGCAUCUACCACCCCUCUGGGCAACCUGGGCCAGUGUUUCACCACUCUUACUGUAAAAAAAUUUCUUCCUCACAUCUAGCCUGAAUCUCCCCUCCUUCUGUUUAAAACUGUUACCCCUUGUCCUCUCACAACAGGCCCUGCUAAAAAGUCUGUCUCCAUCUUUCAAGUACUGAAAAGCCACAAUAACCUCCCCCAGAGCUUUCUCUUGUCCAGGAUGAACAGUUCCAACUCUCUCAGCCUGUCCUCACAGGAGAGGUGUUCCAUCCUUCUGAUCAUCUUGGCGACCCUCCUCUGGAACCUCUCCAACAGGUUUGUGUCUUUCCUGUGCUGAGAGCUCCAGCGCUGGAUGCAGUACUCCAGGUGGGGUCUCAAAGUAGCUGCCAGAUCAUGAUGUCCCCAAGACCAGGCGUGCUCAGAGGUGCUUGCUAUGUGCCACAGAGCCCCACGUGAACUUUCCAGACAGCUCUGAUUACUCGUAAAGAGCACUGGAAUCUGGAAAGUGCUGCAAGUCAUUAAUUUGAGACCACAGACCAUCAGCUUUGGGAGGAAAGUUUGCACUACUCCCUCCUUGGAAUAAAUCAGUGGACUGCUUCCCUCCACUAGCAGCUCUUAAUAUUAGUCGUGAUGUGAAGAAGCUGAGGACAAAGCACAGACCUGUGAAACCAGUUUUCUACUGCCCGACAUCUCUUAGGAUUGUCUGCCCAUCUAAAGAAGGAGCAUAAAGUCCUGACAGACACGAUCACCCAUUUUCCCUUUUCCAGACCUGCUGGGCAGGUGUCAAUGGCGGUGACGGGGAAUAACCAUGAAUUUAGGGGCAAAAAGAGAUUAGUUGACUUUUUAUGUGACUCCAAGUGGGAGGAUCAAAGCAUAUGCCCCAGCUACAAACAAAUUCCAGCUUACUGGAAAAUGGACCUGAAAUGAAUCUUUGCAUCAUGUUCAGGGCUUGUACUGUUUUUGGGAGGCUUGCUGUAAGUUAAACUGGAAAAAUAAAGUAUAGAGAGUUGAGAAAGGAAA